rnacentral:rRNA from 1 species
UGCCAGCAGCCGCGGUAAUACGGGGGAUGCAAGCGUUAUCCGGGAUUAUUGGGCGUAAAGAGUCCGUAGGUUGUUAUCAAAGCCUAUUGUUAAAUAUCAAGGCUUCACCUUGAAUCUGCAGUAGGAACCUGAUAACUUGAGUGCGGUAGGAGUAGGAGGAAUUCCCGGUGUAGCGGUGAAAUGCGCAGAUAUCGGGAAGAACACCGGAGGCGAAAGCGCCCUACUAGGCCGACACUGACACUAAGGGACGAAAGCUAGGGGAGCAAACGGGAUUAGAUA